UGGGGAAUAUUGGACAAUGGGCGCAAGCCUGAUCCAGCAAUGCCGCGUGUGUGAAGAAGGCCUUCGGGUUGUAAAGCACUUUUAUCAGGAGCGAAACGCUGUCGGCUAAUACCCGGCGGAACUGACGGUACCUGAGGAAUAAGCACCGGCUAACUUCGUGCCAGCAGCCGCGGUAAUACGAAGGGUGCAAGCGUUAAUCGGAAUUACUGGGCGUAAAGCGUGCGUAGGCGGUUUCUUAAGUCCGCUGUGAAAUCCCCGGGCUCAACCUGGGAAUGGCAGUGGAUACUGGGAGGCUAGAGUGUGUCAGAGGGUGGUGGAAUUCCCGGUGUAGCGGUGAAAUGCGUAGAGAUCGGGAGGAACAUCAGUGGCGAAGGCGGCCACCUGGGACAACACUGACGCUGAGGCACGAAAGCGUGGGGAGCAAACAGGAUUAGAUACCCUGGUAGUCCACGCCCUAAAAGCGAUGCGAACUGGAUGUUGGUCUCAACUCGGAGAUCAGUGUCGAAGCUAACGCGUUAAGUUCGCCGCCUGGGGAGUACGGUCGCAAGACUGAAACUUAAAUGAAUU
rnacentral:rRNA from 1 species